rnacentral:rRNA from 1 species
UACGUAGGUGACAAGCGUUGUCCGGAUUUACUGGGCGUAAAGAGCGCGCAGGCGGUCGUUCAAGUCGAGUGUGAAAGCCCCCGGCUCAACUGGGGAGGGUCAUUCGAUACUGAUCGACUCGAAGGCAGGAGAGGGAAGUGGAAUUCCCGGUGUAGUGGUGAAAUGCGUAGAUAUCUGGAGGAACACCGGUGGCGAAGGCGGCGUUCUGGACUGUCUCUGACACUGAAGAACGAAAGCCAGGGGAGCAAACGGG